GGGCCCGCACAAGCGGCGGAGCAUGUGGAUUAAUUCGAUGCAACGCGAAGAACCUUACCUGGGCUUGACAUGCACCGGAUCGGCGUAGAGAUACGUCUUCCCUUGUGGCUGGUGCACAGGUGGUGCAUGGCUGUCGUCAGCUCGUGUCGUGAGAUGUUGGGUUAAGUCCCGCAACGAGCGCAACCCUUGUCCCAUGUUGCCAGCGGGUUAUGCCGGGGACUCGUGGGAGACUGCCGGGGUCAACUCGGAGGAAGGUGGGGAUGACGUCAAGUCAUCAUGCCCCUUAUGUCCAGGGCUUCACACAUGCUACAAUGGCCGGUACAAUGGGCUGCGAUACCGCGAGGUGGAGCGAAUCCCUGAAAGCCGGUCUCAGUUCGGAUCGCAGUCUGCAACUCGACUGCGUGAAGUCGGAGUCGCUAGUAAUCGCAGAUCAGCAUUGCUGCGGUGAAUACGUUCCCGGGCCUU
rnacentral:rRNA from 1 species